CGCCGCUUGCAAUGCUUGCAUUGCGUUAAAAAUAUACGAUUUUACAAGAAUUAAACUCCAGUUUUGACUGGAUAUAGGUCUCAUCGGUCGACCAUUGCUUAGACUGAUUCAGCAAUGGUUGCAUACGCCAACCGAGACCCACGGCUGAGGGGAGCAGCAGAGCGAGCAGAGUGCUCCUCAAGCAGCUCUCCUUCUCCGCUAACCGCGGUCGACGCUGGUGGUAUGGAGCUGGCGGUGGCCGUCGCGGAACACCCUCUGAUGAGUAGAGGGUUCAAUGCCAUGAUGAGCGAGCUCCACCCUCGAGGCCUCGCACGGCGCCUCGCCGCCAUCUCCCCCUCCACUGGCACCUCGAGCCUCGACUUGGGAAGGCCGAGUUCCCUGGCCAGAAUUGAGUCGGUUCGGGAUGCUGCCGUUUGUCACGCACCUGGCUCCUCAGGAGCUGACGAAGGUCGUGCAGUUUCGACAGGAGAGUCAAGGAAGCGGGCUCUUUCGCUUAGUGAUGAUUUGGCGAUUCCGUUGCCGUCAAAGCAGUUCAAGGAGGACAGACUGCAUCGCCGACAACAAGGCUCAGCAGUUCGUAGGCUCUCUGCGGUGAGAAAGCAGCUGUCCUAACAGACUAUUGCUGCUGCUGCAAGUGUCGUGUUCUUUUAUAAAGGGUUGUGCAAUAUAUGAAAAAGCCUCCAGCUGGCUGGAGGCUGAUUUCGAAGGGAUUUCUGGGGCGUGUGCCCAGCUGCUCAUUUGCUGGUGGCGACUACCCUCGGCAGAGCUACUUCCUCAACCAGCAUAACAAUCGCGCUUAAUCAGGAAGUCCAGCCUACUACGCUUGCUGCAGAAAUGCGUUGCGUUUAUCGACUUGGUCUCACACCAGUUGGUAAAUUUGGUGCUUUGGAGCAUUCUUGCUGCAAAGUCAGUGAAAGUGCUGAGCUGGGACUACUCACCGGCUUCAUUAUGAGACGAUGAUCGAACCAGUCGGCUGCGUCCUUUGCCAGUGGCCAACCAGCCUAAACUUGAGGACCUCUCAACAGAGAACCUCUGGGUUGGUGCAUUAGAAUUCCAGUCAUGUGUCCAGUCUUCAAGGGACAGAACAGAGGAUCGAAAAAUCUCCAGGCCAGGCGAGGAGGGAGAAAACUGCCAAAUUUGCCACUCCUCUGUCAGGGCUAGUAAAAGAAGAGCAGCCUGAUGGACAUUCCUUUCCCCUGCUUGCUAGAAAAGUGGAAUCAAGGAGGGAAAGAGAAAAAAUAAACAGAGAGGAGACUGACAGCCUGCUGACAGCUGCAGGGAUAUAGGGGGUGUAGCAUCAUCUGGGCCGCACUCGAAACGAAGAGGAAAGAAAGUCUAACUUUUUGUGUUAUCAAACUAUUACUGUACAAGUUGUCGCUAUUUUUUCGGACUGGAAUUACUUCUUUGACUUGAAUUACAUACAGCGAACUGUGACCCGGCCUUUCAGAAUUUCUGUUACACACAGGAAGAUUAGCAGAGAGAGCUGCAGGACUUACAUACUCAAAGUUUUCCCAAAUACAUAUAGGAUCCUUUCGGUGAAGAUGGUUGGUGCGGAAGGACCCCACCGAGUAAAGUUGAACAUGAAUUUCGCAAUUCAUAGAUAUUUUACACUCCCGCGCAAUGCUAGCAUUGAUUGGAAAAAACUUGCGGAAGCAGGUUUUUACUACAAUGGAUCUAACAAGUUUUCUGAUCGCAAGCUGCACUGCGCAUUCUGUCAAGUGGUAAUUGAAUUGAGAGAUCUUAAUUCUAACGAUGAUAUUGACAGAAUUAGUGAAGAAAUGCACGCAAAUUGCAAGGAUUCGCCUGAGUUUUGUCAAAGUAAUUUACAAAUUGGUCAGCCAAAUUACAAUUAUGAAUCUCAUCGCUAUUACUCAGUGCUUCAAAAGAAUGACUGGAAUUUCGUUGGUCCGCUCAGUAUUGCAAGAAGCGGAUUUGUGUAUUCUGGAGAGUCUGACAAGGUUGAGUGCCAUUAUUGUAAGUUGAAAGUCAGUGAUUGGGAAGAGGGAGAUGAGGCGAAUACACAGCACAUUAGGUGGAAUUCCAAUUGUCCUUUUUUGAGUGGUAAUGUAGUUAACAUCAAAAUUGGAGAUGAGGCUAUCAGAACCUAUCACGAUGGAACUGGCAAUAAUGCUUCCUCUACUCGGCCAUUUACUGUGAGUGUUAACUUGCAAUCCAGUGGGUAUGAUGACACAACUAUCAGCACAGAGUUUGUAACUUUUCAAAGUCGACUCGACUCUUUUGCCAACUGGCCGUACCAAUCCCCAACUCCAAAUGCACUCGCCGAGGCUGGAUUUGUCCAUUGCACAGAUGGUGGAAUUGGUGGAAGAACCAUUUGCUUUCAUUGUGGAUUCGAAAUAUCCUAUGAUUCCUGGAAACCUGAAGAUGAGCCUCUUAUUGUGCAUGGAGAAUUCCGUCGCAAUUGCUCAUUUGUAGACACAAUUCUUACCGCAAGAGAGGCCUCCCAUAAUGCCUAAAGUAAACAUUAGUUUGCCCACUCUUUUACUGUUAGCAAAGUAAAACUGCUUGACGAGAAUUUUGAAUUUCUCAAUAUUUUGUUACUUAAAUUAAGCCUCUACUUGUAUUUUAUAUUCUUUAAAUAUCUAUGUACAAAUAAAAAUUAUGGGUAUUUCUAAAUUAUUUUAGAUAGUUGAAUCUGAUUGUGAUAUAUUUCGUCGUUGCAAUUGUUUGUCUGUUACAAUCAACUUGCGAAAUGUUUUGUUGAUAAAUUUUAAACAAAUUUGAAAUAAAAUUGUGAUUUUUUAUCUACUAAUUAAAUAAGUUUUACUGUCGUGUUCACAAAAACACCAAAACCAUUUUCUUGCUCUCGACCCAAAAAAAUAUUUUACUUGUUCAGUAUUUUGUCAUUAUUACACCAGAGUUUCUUGUGAACAUGCUUCAUCGUCAUCGAUCAAUCAAUAUUUGCAUUCAAAAAUUAUAGUUCAGAUUCUUAAUCAGAUAAAAUUAUAUUCCAUUAAAUUUAAAAGUC